rnacentral:lncRNA from 1 species
GCUUCCCCUACCAAAGUUACCUGAGUACAAUACCGAAUAAGGAAAAAAAUUGUUUUCCCUUUUAUGACGUACAUGUUAUUUCCCUGUUCCUUGCGGAACACUUAACAAUGCUUUGCAGAACCGUGGUUGGGAAACACUAAUGUAGCCGAUCAUGUUUCCUCAUUCCAUAUUGGAGGACAUCUGAUUUCUCAAUUACUUUGUGUGAGCACUAUCAAACUGUUAACUCCAUAUUUUAAUAAGGUAUUAUAAGCACCAAAAAGUAACCAAAAGUAAAGUAAGUUUAGUACCUAAUAUAGUGAUGCUAGGUAAAAUUUGAUAUUUCUUGAUAUUUGGGCAAUUCUGUUUGGCACAGGAAUGAGAGAGCAUGGCCCAAGAGAAAAAAAUCCCAGCAGAAUGUUGACCCCUUCUUUACCGUAUCCCCUAAUUAAACACUCCUGGUUCAAUGGUGAAGAUUCCACAUGGGGCUGAAGCUCUAUUCAAGUUAUGGGGUCCCAAAGUUGGGACUCUGAAUUAUUAUUUUUUUAAAUUUUUGCAAAACUUAUGGUCAGAUAUUUUAAAAACAAUUUUAGAUGUAUCUUAUCAUUCUGAAUUUAAUGCAAUCGGUUUAAAUAAGCUACAACUUACACUUAUGAAGUUAUAUAAUUUUUUCAUUUACGAUGAUAUAUCCAUUCUGAAG